AGUGAACGCUGGCGGUAGGCCUAACACAUGCAAGUCGAACGGCAGCACAGGAGAGCUUGCUCUCUGGGUGGCGAGUGGCGGACGGGUGAGGAAUACAUCGGAAUCUACUCUGUCGUGGGGGAUAACGUAGGGAAACUUACGCUAAUACCGCAUACGACCUACGGGUGAAAGCAGGGGACCUUCGGGCCUUGCGCGAUUGAAUGAGCCGACGUCGGAUUAGCUAGUUGGCGGGGUAAAGGCCCACCAAGGCGACGAUCCGUAGCUGGUCUGAGAGGAUGAUCAGCCACACUGGAACUGAGACACGAUCCAGACUCCUACGGGAGGCAGCAGUGGGGAAUAUUGGACAAUGGGCGCAAGCCUGAUCCAGCCAUACCGCGUGGGUGAAGAAGGCCUUCGGGUUGUAAAGCCCUUUUGUUGGGAAAGAAAUCCAGCUGGCUAAUACCCGGUUGGGAUGACGGUACCCAGAGAAUAAGCACCGGCUAACUUCGUGCCAGCCGCCGCCGUAA
rnacentral:rRNA from 1 species